AGCUUUCAGAUGAACAGAAAGCAAAGGUCUGAAAAGGAAGAGCUAAGGGACCGACCAGCUCUUAGGAGCUUCUCUCUGUAAAUGAUUGAAUUCAAGAUGUGAAAUGAUGGGAACGGAACCUGAGCUGCCCUGGUCUCAAGCAUCUUUGGUUGAGGGAAGCAGGGCACCUUGACCUACAAUUGUGCUAAAUGUACUUAUACCCAAGGGCAUGGCCAGGUCCCUAGAUGCUGAGAAAAAGGAAGCAGUGUCCACACAGCACCUCUGAUGGUGGCUGCAGAAUCGCUCCCCACAAUGGAUAGUGAAACCGGGGAUCGUGUGGACUCUGAGGUGGGAUAGCGUAUUCUAGAAAAAGGACGGGCGAAAAGGAGCACGCUAUGGAGAUGUAUUAAGGAACGCACAUCUCGAGAAAUGACGUGAUUGCAAAGGAUUAAGAUUCUUCUGCCUCUCUCACACAGUGAUUCUAACACUGGCCAUGGGAUAGCAAGAUGCUUCCCAGAUCAAUGUGGAUCUAAGGUAGGGGACAAAUUUCCUGUCAUGGGACACCUAGUAAGGUGUCUUUAGGUUUGCAAACCAUACAAUCUCUAUUACAGUUCUUCAGCUCUUCUAUGAGACUGUGAAAACUACCUCAGGCAGACAGUCAUAGUUGACUCAUAAGUAACUGGGUGUGGCUAUGGUCCAGUAAGACCUUAUUUAUAAGAACAGGCAGUAGUGAAAUUUGGCUCAGAGGCUCAGCCUUGCUUCUUUAGGAGCUGAGUCCUUGAGUGUGCUUGUGAGGAGCCACCAAGCUAUGCCUAAUGCAGAUGAAAGACCAGGGGACUGUAUGUAGGACGGCUGGGUUCAUAGCCUGGCUCAGCUACUUCACGGUGAAGGACAUUUGCUACACUAGACCUUCCUGGGCCUGGGGUUCUUCUCUUUGGAAGUGGAGAAUGCACGUUCCCUUUUGUGUAGCCCUGAGUAUCCUGGAAGUCCCUCUGUAGAUCAAUCUCGCCUUUGAACUCACAGAGAACUGCCUGUCUCUGCCUCCCAAGUGCUCGGAUUAAAGAUGUUUGCCACCACUGUCCAGCAAUGUACAGCCUCUUAAAUCACCUCCCAGAGCCAGGACCAAAGCAGAGAGGUAAGAGCUCAUCUCAGAAGAGGCACCAUGACGUAAUUCAAGAACAGAACCAGUGUGCUUUUCAAACCCCUGCUUUCUGCAUAAAACCUGCGUUUCUGGACAUUUCUUGCUCCUUCUUCCCAAACCAGCUUACUCUGGACUUUUUUCACAUUCCAAAAAUCCGUGUGUAGUUCUGAGGCUCAUUGCUACGGGAAGCUGAUACUAUAAUUUGUUGCAGGAUAUUUGGCCACACUGUGAACCCCAGGGUUCUGUUAUUUACUGAAAACACCUGGUUCUAGUUGUGUUUUGGCUCUGCCUUGGCACACUCCUUUAAUCUUUCUGGCUGGAAUAUAGACACGCCCUUAGCAGACACCUUUAAUCCCAAACAAUGAAUUUAAAAUUAGUUCGUAGAAGGAAGCAUCCAUGUUUGUGAUAUCCAAUUGAGUGGCAGACAAACUGACGAAUCAGAGAAAGACUUGGCAGUCUAGGAUGUGCUCAGCUCUCAUGAGAAGAGAGAGGAAAGAAGAACUAUUUGACGAACCGUGCAGAGAGAACAAGGAAGGAGGCAGUUUUCUGGGGAGAGUUUUACAGAGACAGGUUGAAGAGAGGACAAGCUAACACAGGUAAAGACAGAAUGAGGAGUGAGCCAGAGAAUGAGAAGGAGUCAGAAGACAGAACAGAUUGCUAGAGUUAGUUUGAGGUCAAGCAGAGCAAUUCAGGAGAGGAAGAGAGAGAGAGAGAGAGAGAGAGAGAGAGAGAGAGAGAGAGAGAGAGAGAGAGAACCAACCAACGAGACCUCAGAAAGAGCUAGGAAGAGGUGAGUUUAUUCAGCAGUAAGUCUCAGAGGCUGAAAACAUUCUAGGCUUAGGUAAGAUUGUAUGGAGGCCGGAAGCUUCUAGUCCUAGGUUAGCAGAUUGAGACAGUAAGCCUCAGAGGUGAUAAUUACCUCAGGAGAGUAAAAAACGCUUUUACAGUUACUAUCAUCACUGAUAUUCUCUCUCUCUUAAGUCGAGGUAGAGUUCACAUAACAGAAAAUCCACCAUUUUCGAACUGUAUCAUCUGGUGGCAUUUCAUAGCGGCUGGUGUCAAGGGUUAAAGCUCUGGCCUCAACAAGCCACUAACCAUUUUCCCUCUUAUCUCAAGCCCCAGGUAGCCACCAUUAUCUUCCUCUAUCUGUGGAACCAAUUUUCUGUUCUUUCUUUCAAAUGAAAUCGAAGCAUGGCAUUUUGUGUUUGGGGUUUUUCACUUGGCGUAACGUUUGAGAAGCUCAUCUAUCUUGUAUUGAUCCUUCAUUGCUUCUUACCGUAGAAUAAUAUUCCACCUAACUCUAUGUACACAGCUGGGCAUGGUGGCCCAUGCCUCUAAGCCAGCACUGGAGAGGCAGAGGCAGGUGGAUUUCUGCGAGGUCAAGGCUAACCUCAUCUACAUAGUGAGUUACAGGUCAGCCAGGGCUACAGAGUGGAAACCCUCUCUCAAAGGGAAAAUAUGGAUAUAGCACAGUCUAUCCAUUCAUCCGCUGAUGGAUCUUCAGUUUGUUUCCACUUUCCGGCUCGUGUGAAUAGGUCUGCCAUUCACAUUAUGUACAAGUACCUUUUGAAAGCCUGAUUUUAGUUGGGGGUACACACCAGAAGCUAAAUCAUCACGGGAAUUCAAGGUUUACCUUCUUGAGAACCCAUCCGACUGAUUUCCUGUAGCAGUUGUACCACCAGCAACUUGUGCUGGCUCCAAGUUCCCGACACUCUUGUGGGCACUUGCUUCUAGAUAAACUCUUUAGUAGAAUUCAUUUGAACUGUCAGGCUGAUCUUCCUCCUCUGUUUUAUGUUCCUGGUCACUUACUUUUGUGCCAGUCUCAAUCCUUUCCAAGGGUCCAUCUUAGCACCUUUGUGGAAAAGUGUUUUAGUGAUUCUGCCCAUUCUUAGGGGACACUAUUUUUUCUUCACGUUAUGUGUGUGAAACUGACAAAUGGGGGGCUGGAGAGAUGGCUCAGCAGUUAAGAGCACUGACUGCUCUUCCAAAGGUCCUGA